GUGCCAGCCGCCGCGGUAAUACGUAGGGGGCAAGCGUUGUCCGGAUUUAUUGGGCGUAAAGCGCGUGUAGGCGGCCAGGUAGGUCUGGUGUGAAAACUCGAGGCUCAACCUCGAGAGGUCAUCGGAAACCAUCUGGCUAGAGUCCGGAAGAGGAGAGUGGAAUUCCCGGUGUAGCGGUGAAAUGCGCAGAUAUCGGGAAGAACACCUAUGGCGAAGGCAGCUCUCUGGGACGGUACUGACGCUGAGACGCGAAAGCGUGGGGAGCGAACAGGAUUAGAAACCCUCGUAGUCC
rnacentral:rRNA from 1 species